AAUACAUGCAAGUCGAACGGUCUUUCUAUGGAAGCUUGCUUCCACUGAGAAGAUAGUGGCGAACGGGUGAGUAACAACGUGGGUAACCUGCCCAUAAGAGGGGGAUAACAUCCGGAAACGGGUGCUAAUACCGCAUAGUUUUCUUGAUUGCAUGAUUGAGAAAGGAAAGACGGCCUUUGUGCUGUCGCUUAUGGAUGGACCCGCGGCGUAUUAGUUAGUUGGUGAGGUAACGGCUCACCAAGACGAUGGUACGUAGCCGACCUGAGAGGGUGAUCGGCCACAUUGGGACUGAGACACGGCCCAAACUCCUACGGGAGGCAGCAGUAGGGAAUCUUCCGCAAUGGACGAAAGUCUGACGGAGCAACGCCGCGUGAGUGAAGAAAGGUUUUCGGAUCGUAAAACUCUGUUGUCAGAGAAGAACAAGUUGGAGAGUAACUGCUCCAGCCUUGACGGUAUCUGACCAGAAAGCCACGGCUAACUACGUGCCAGCCGCAGC
rnacentral:rRNA from 1 species